GUAGUCUGCAACUCGACUACAUGAAGCUGGAAUCGCUAGUAAUCGCGAAUCAGAAUGUCGCGGUGAAUACGUUCCCGGGUCUUGUACACACCGCCCGUCACACCAUGGGAGUCGGAAAUGCCCGAAGUCUGUGACCCAACCUUAGGGAGGGAGCAGCCGAAGGCAGGUCGGAUGACUGGGGUGAAGUCGUAACAAGGUACC
rnacentral:rRNA from 1 species